rnacentral:rRNA from 1 species
AUUGAACGCUGGCGGAAUGCUUUACACAUGCAAGUCGAACGGUAGAGGGGGCAACCCCUCGAGAGCGGCGGACGGGCGAGUAAUAAAUCGGAACGUGCCUACCCGUGGGGGAGAACGUAGCGAAAGUUAGGCUAAUACCGCCUACGAACUUACUAUGGAAGCGAGGGAGCGAAAGACCUCCCGCGAGUGGAUCGGCCGAAAUCAGAUUAGGUAGUUGGGGGGGUAAAGGCCCACCAAGCCAACGAUCUGUAGCUGGUCUGAGAGGACGACCAGCCACACUGGAACUGAGACACGGUCCAGACGCCUACGGGAGGCAGCAGUGGGGAAUUUUGGACAAUGGACGCAAGUCUGAUCCAGCCAUCCCGCGUGCAGGAUGAAGGCCCUCGGGUUGUAAACUGCUUUUGUACGGAACGAAAAGGUCUCUCUUAAUACGGGGGGCUCAUGACGGUACCGUAAGAAUAAGCACCGGCUAACUACGUGCCAGCCGCCGCAGUAA